rnacentral:snRNA from 1 species
GAAUGGGAGGGUGCCUUGGCUGUGACAUCUGUCACCCUAUCAAUUACCCAGCAUUGAUUCAGUUGAUCUGGCUGGCUAGGUGAUUGUCCCCUUCCUUCCUCAUCACUCUACAUGUGUCCCUCCUGAAGCUGCAUGUGCAGUCAGAGAGGAGGACCUUCUCCAAUAGUGAAGGAAGGACCUCCAUUCUUUGGACAAGGAUAUUCAGGUAGUUGUGUUCCCCUGCUAGAACUUCCAAACAAAUUCUCAAGAAAACAGCAAGAUGCCCUAGAAUUGGAAAAAGGGAAGAAUAAGAGCACAGAAGCCCAGGAGGCCCAGGGUAAUAGCGAGAGGGCCAUGUACCU